GAUCAAGCUACAAAGAGCAUAUAGGGAAUGCCUUGGCACUAAACGCCGAUGAAGGACGCGACUAACUGCGAUAAGCUACGGGAAGCUGUAAAUGAGCAAUGAUCCGUAGGUCUCCGAAUGCGGAAACGCACUAUGGUGGAGCCAUAGUAUCAUAACAUGAAUACAUAAUGUUAUGAAGGGAACCCAGUGAACUGAAACAUCUAAGUAACUGGAGGAAAAGAAAGUAAACUAACGAUUACCUAAGUAGUGGCGAGCGAAAGGGUAACAGCCCAAACCAUGGGUAGCAAUAUCCAUGGGGUUUAGGACUCAGUGAGUAGUGGAAGUACUUAUAGUUGAACAUAUCUGGAAAGAUGGGCAAUAUAGAGUAAAAGCCUCGUAGACGAAAUAAGUAUCAAAUGAAUGAGUAUCCAGAGUAAUGUGGGACACGUGAAAUCCUGCAUGAAGAUAGGAGGACCAUCUCCAAAGGCUAAAUACGAUUUAGUGACCGAUAGCGAAUAGUACCGUGAGGGAACGGUGAAAAGAACCCCG
rnacentral:rRNA from 1 species